AAUAUAUCUUUAAAAAUUUUAGUUGUUAAUAGGUAUAUAAAAAACAAAUAUUUACGUGAUUUGAUAUCUAUAUUAAAAGCUUAACUCCUUCACCCGUUAAUAAGCCAAAACCCUUUUCCAGAGAUAACGACAUCUAUGAACAUCGUCGUCUCAUGAUGAAAACAUUUUUCUUGAACGCCAAUGAGGCGAUAUAUCGCCAAUAGCUAGAUCGGAUUGUUGAGAUAUGAGCUUCCAAUGUUGACGGUGCUGACAAAGUAUUUUAUUUCGGGGAAGGGGCGAAACAUUUUAGGGAAAGAAUCUAGAGAAGAAAGGUCAGGUGAACACGAAUUUUUGAGGGUGGGUCGAAGGUUCCGUGAUGUCUAUUGGUCCGUGAAGUUAAUGAAAUACAGAUCUUUUGGAAAGAAGCCAAAUGUCAUUGAAACUUAUUUAUGAGAACUCGUGACAUAUAUUUUUGACACUCUGAAACUAACUGUUUUUUCGUGAGUAUCUUUCAAGACAAUUCAGUAACAAGCUAUUUUUUCAGGUAUAUUGCUUUUCUGAUGUGUAGUUCAAUCUGUACACUUCACUUAAAAUCCUAAUGCUUGGUGAGUGAAAUUUUAACCUAUGAAAUUAAACACAAUAUUUAAUACAAUACAAUAUUUUAUAAUAUUUUUACAUUAAUACAAUAUUUUGAAAUUAUUACAAUAUUUUUGUUACACUUCUAUAAAUGUUAUUUGAAGAUUUUCUAGGUUAUAUACGUUCCUCAACUUGAGGGUAUUAAAAUAAACAAAUAAUGUUUUAAUAUAACUUUAGAAAAAUAUUGAGUGAGCUUGAAUUGUUCAGAUCUUUCUUUAAAAUAAUAUCAUUCUAAAAAGAAA